rnacentral:lncRNA from 1 species
AAGUAAUACAUGCAUGUUGUUCUCCUGCUUUACAGCGUUGAAAACAUGAAACCUUUGAAACAUCGAGUGCCAUCUGGUAGUGUUGGAUGAAACAUGCAAUGCACAUGCCUUGUUUAUAAAGGGGAGGGGAUGAGGAAAAGCGCAAAAUGAGAGGGAAGAAAAAGAAGUUUGGGCUGGAUAGCACUUGUAAGAUUCAAAUGAGAAAGGGGAGAACAAAACAUGGGAAUGAGUCUAUGGAGGAGUCUACUGGCUGGACCAAUUCUAAAACAACAGUGGAAAACCAAUG